GCUGGGCGUGGUGGUGCACGCCUGUAGUCCCAGCUACUCGGGAGGCUGAGACAGGAGAAUUGCUUGAACCCCGGAGGUGGAGUUGCAGUGAGCCGAGAUUGGGCCACUGCACCCCAGCCUGGGCAACAGAGCAAGACUCUGUCUCAA
ensembl:misc_RNA Metazoa_SRP Metazoan signal recognition particle RNA